GGAUAACCGUAGUAAUUCUAGAGCUAAUACAUGUAUAAAGUCUUGUAGACUGCAUUUAUUAGAAUGAAAACCAUAGGUUUCGGCCUAUUCGUGAGUAAUAAUAACUAAUCAUAUCGUAUGCUUAAGUAACGAUGUGUCUUUCAGUUUCUGCCCUAUCAGCUUUCGAUGGUAGUGUAUUGGACUACCAUGGCAGUAACGGGUAACGAAAAUUGGGUUCGAUUUCGGAGAGGGAGCCUGAGAGAUGGCUACCACAUCCAAGGAAGGCAGCAGCCGCGCGAAUUAACCCAUCCUGACACAGGAAGGUAGUGACAAUAAAUCACAAUGCG
rnacentral:rRNA from 1 species